ensembl:lncRNA
CUCUGAUGAGAUCUUGUUUAUUAUUUUCUUUGAUAAUAUCUUUUAAAAUAGAUUGAUAACUACUUGAUUAUCAUUUGAUAAUAAUAUCAAAAAGUGUCUAUCAUGUGCCAGCCACUGUUCUCAGCAUUAGUUUGAUCACAAAAAAUAUUUCUGAGGCGGGAGCUUGUGAAUUGGACCAGACUGCGCCAGGCAAAGGGAAUAUGUGCAGCACCUCCAGGGGGGAAAGGCUGGAAGGACAAACCAUGUGGGCUAAAUGCUGCUUCAAGUCCCACUGAUGCACUCUUACUGCAGAUGAAAAUAUGGCUACCGAUCUUUUUCAGGCCCAACUAUGUGAGGGGUAGGGAGGACUGGGCUUGUGAAGGAUGUGGACAUGGCCCCAUGCCACUGGGUGCAUCAGUGGUGCUGCGGGAGGAUAUGUGACCUGCUCAGCUUGACCUCAAGUGGUCCUUGGAGAAGCAGGAGCAUUUCCCUUUUGUGUCUUCUAGGUAAGUGGGGACAGAUGUUACCAUGUCCAUUUGCUGGCUUGCAUCCUUGGGAGCUCCCUGGGUGAGAUCUGAAACUGAACCUGAACGUGGAGGGCAAGGAGAGACUGGAGAAUGAGGUGGACCACUCCAAAUUGGUUUAAUAAUAAUCAAGGCAACAUCUGAGGCUUAUCUAAUGUGACUGUGAGAUGAGUAGAUGUUCGCAUUGACUCACCAGAAUCUUAAAAGUUUAUAUAGAAGCCUUAACUGGGUUCAGUUAAAUGUUCAGUCCAACAAGCUCAACAGCACCUCACUCUCUCACAGUUGUGGCCACGACCUUGAAACAGCUGCUAGCAUGGGAACGGGAGGCAGCUGUACACUCCAGGGACAGGUGAGGGAAGUGAGGGACCCCUGAUUGUCUGGGGUCAGCUUGCUGGUCAAGAGGUCACGGCUUCUUGAUGACCUCCUCCAACGCCACCUUAUUGGAGUAACAAUUAUGUUCUAUAACAAUUGAAUCUUUAAAUUUCAGUGACAACACGUGAGAGUUUCUUGCUCUCCCAACAAUUCAGUGUGGAUGUUCUGGCAAGCAGGGUGCAUUCCUCAGCUUGGCAAUUGGAGGACCCAGGGCCCUUCCAUCUUGAGCUGCCAAUCCUAGGACCAUGGAAAUCUCUGCUUCCCACUGGAAGAAGGGGAAAGAGAG